rnacentral:rRNA from 1 species
AAACUGCGAAUGGCUCGCUACAAGAGUUGUUGUGCGUUUGGUGCCUUAUCACCUGGUUACCAGUGGGAACUCCAGAGCUACUACAUGACAUACUGUUCGUCUGCACCGGAUGGGCAGUGGUUGCCAGAAUGGAAGCCACUCACGUGCUGAUCGCGUGGAGGCCUUGACACGCGGCAUUUUCUCACAUCUCGUGUGCCGUCGCUUGGACCAACCAAAACAAUUCCUCACCUAUCAGCUUCGGACGGUAGGAUAGUGGCCAACCGUGGCAAUGACGGGUAACGGCGGAUUAGGGUUUUAUUCCGGAGAGGGAGCCUUACACACGGCUACCACAUCUAAGGAGGGCAGCAGGCGCGCAAAUUACCCAUUCCUGACGCAGGGAGGUAGUGACAAGAAAUAGCAAUUCAAGGCGAUUAAGUUUUGUGUUUGAAAUGAAUAGACUCUAAAAAGCUCUGCGAGGAUCAAUUAGAGGGCAAGUCUGGUGCCAGCACCGCGGUAAUUCCAGCUCCCAAAGCGUAUGUUAAAGUUGUGCGGUUAAAAAGCUCGUAGUU